rnacentral:rRNA from 1 species
UAGGCGUAAACGAUACUCGCUAGGUGUCGGCCACGGUGCGACCGUUGUCGGUGCCGUAGGGAAGCCGUGAAGCGAGCCACCUGGGAAGUACGGCCGCAAGGCUGAAACUUAAAGGAAUUGGCGGGGGAGCACCACAACGGGUGGAGCUUGCGGUUUAAUUGGAUUCAACGCCGGAAAUCUUACCGGGACCGACAGCAACAUGAAGGCCAGGCUGAAGACUUUGCCGGAUUAGCUGAGAGGUGGUGCAUGGCGUAGUCGUGU